AAAACCUGCCCCCGUUUGCUUCUCCCUCCGCUGUUCACGCAAAAAGAUGGACUCCGCUGUUCACGCAAAAAGAUGGACGCGUAUCGAUCAGCCGUUCACCGCGACCUUCUCCGCGCGACCGCGCCGCGCCUACUUCCACCAGCGCCACGGAGCACGUAGACCGCGACUCCGCUUCUGCCAUUGCGCCACGACCUUCUCCGCGCGCCCUCCUCCCGCGAAGCGGUGCGGCCUCCUCCCUCCUCCCGCGCAAGGGCGCAGGGGCCCCACGGCUCGCGGCCUCCGCCGCCGCAGGGGCGAGGCCUCCUCCCGGCUCCCACGCAAGGGGCCCACGGCGCAGCGCCUUGGGCUGCGGCUCCCCGGGGCUCGCGGCCUCCUCCCCCGCAGGGGCGCGGCCUCCUCCCGGCUCCCGCACAAGGGGCCCACGGCGCAGCGCCUUGGGCAGCGGCUCCCCGGGCACGGGCGGUGCCUCCGCGCGCGCAGCGGCGCGGCCUCCUCCUGGCUCCCGCGGAGGGACGCAGGGGCCAUGGCGCGACGCCUUGGCCUGCGGCUCCCGUUCGCCUGGCACACAGAGGAGCACACAGACGUGAAGACCAAUAGAGGAGCGGGGGAAAACGAUUCGCUCUCUGAAGAUUCGCUCCGUCCAUCACUGUGUCCCGUCGGAACAGUCGCAACCGGCGCCGCGCGGCGGCCGUACGCGCGUGCCCUCCCUCCUCUCACCGAUGUCGAGGCUGUCCCAUCGGAGUUACUGGGCGAGGCCGCGCGUCCCAGCAGGGUUGGGAGGGCGGGAGGGCGCGGGCACCCGGGCCUCGAUUUGCACCCCGGCCGUCGUCGAGAUAAGAUCCUCCUCCCCAUUCCUUAUCGCCUCCUCCACUUUCUUCUCCCUCGCUCCGGUUCCAAACCCUAGCUUUUGGUUCCCCGCUCCCAUCCUCGGCUUAUUUUCCCUAUCCAGACCGCAGCAUACAGAUAUGUGAGAUUCGUCCGUCCCCUGCAUCUUUGCCCAUUCUUGCUGCUUCGAAUUUGAAGUGGCUUGAUCUAAUCUGCGGUUCUCUGGUGUUCUUAUGCAGGUGCAUAGCCGGCCAUGGCGUUCGUCACCUAGCCAUAGGAGCAGCCAUCAGUACAGGAAGGUCAUCCAUUGCUGAAGAAAGAAUCGUGUGUUGCUGUCAAGUUGCUGCUUUCUGAUGUGGGGACCCGCGAAGUGAUGACUGGGUCUCCGUGUGAGAGAGUCGCACGAUGUCGUGAGAAGGUUCAAAGGAGGAAGUUUGCUGUUACACAAGGUUCUCUUCCGCAGAUUGUUCCUGCCACCAGCAGUGAGCCUUCUUGCCUUGGUGAUCUUCCAGGGCCAUCCAACCAGCCAUGCACAUUUCAGCCAGCAGGCCCAUGUGAUCUUUUGCCGGUUUCUCGAAAGAGGACGAGAGGAAAGUCCUUGAUGGACUUCCCUGCAGAAAUUGCCACUUUAAACCGACGCCUUCGGAUCAGCAGGAUGCGAAGUAAGAGGUCCUCUGAUUGUGAUGUUUCUGUGCCUGUGACGCUCCCUCUUGAUAGAGGCCGCAUAGAAGAGUUGAAAGGUUUGUAGGUAUUUUAUUUUGAACUUGCUUGGAGAAUGAUUUUCUUGGUGUUAUGCCUAUAGCCCUGACUUUUCAUUGUGCGCCUGUAGAAACCUUCCCAGAACGGUCCUACUAUGGUGGCCCAACGCAUGAGUGCCCAUACUGUAGUGCUGCCUUUUGGUUCCAGGAGCGAGUGAAGACCGCUUCCAUUGUAUCCAAAAAAAAUUGUGUAUAACCUUUGCUGUAGGGGAGGCAAAAUUAAUCUAAAAUCUUUUAAGAAGCCACCAGCUCCCCUGGCUGACUUGCUAAGAUUCGAUGGCAAUGCACGUUCAAAGCGAUUCCUUAGGCAGAUUCGAUCAUAUAAUUCUUUGUUUGCAUUCACCUCUUUGGGUGCAGCUGUGGAUAAAAUGAUAAAUAAUGGCACUGCUCCUUAUGUAUUCAAAAUAAAUGGAGUUGUUCACCAUUGUAUUGGUUCCCUAAUGCCGCACAACGGCUCACGACCAAAAUUUGCACAACUUUAUAUAUACGAUACUGAACACGAGGCGCAGAACCGUUUAGGCUUGUUUGAGGCUGAUGGUAAUGCUGCUAACCAGCCAGACCCAAAGGUAGUGUUGUCCCUAUUAGAGAUGUUAGAUGAGCAUAACAACCUUGUCAAAGCAUUCCGAUAUGCUAGAGAACGGUUAGAACAGGAGGGAGACCAAAAAGUGACAUUGAGGCUAUUGGGCUGUAACUCAAGGCAGGAUGUUCAAUACAACCUUCCAGCGAGUGGUGAAAUUGCAGCGAUAAUAGUGGGUGACUAUUCAGCUGAUGAGUACACUUAUGAUGUCCUUGUGCAUGAUAGGAAUCGUGGGUUAAAGCGUGUUUCAUGUUUGCACCCAUGUUACAUGGCUCUGCAGUAUCCAUUGUUGUUUCCUUAUGGUGAGCACGGCUACCAUCUUGGCAUUAGGUAUACAAACGCAGAGGAAGAGGGUACUCUUCGUAAAUAUGUCACGAUGCUUGAGUUCGGUAGAUUCCAUAUGCACUACAGGCUAAAUGAAGCGAAUCCUUUCACUUGCUAUGGUAGGUUGAGUGACCAAAUAGCUGUUGAUUUCUUCUCCACAGUUGAGGGUUCUAGGCUAAAGUUUAUAGCUGACCACCAAAAAGAGCUGAGAUACGAAUCUGUUCAGGGAAUAGCCGAUGCGAUUGAUAAGGGUUUUACUAAUGCGGAUUCUGUUGGUGGUAGAUUUGUUGUGCCUGCAAGUUUUACUGGUGGGAGGAGGUAUUAUGUGAUGAACUACCAAGAUGCGAUGGCCAUAUGCAGGGUCUAUGGCCCUCCUGAUCUUUUUGUGACCUUUACAUGCAACACAAAGUGGAGAGAGAUGGCAGAUGCUUUGCGAUAUGAGCCUGGCUAGCUGCCUUGUGAUCGGUCAGAUUUAAUUGUAAGGGUUUUCCAUAUGAAAGUUGACAAAUUCAUAGAUGAUAUUAGGGAGGGUCGGACAUUUGGUGCAGUGCGUGCAGGUGAGACAUAAUUUAGAGUAGCCGUGCAUACUGCUCUUCUGUUUUUAUUGUUAGUAUGUCUUAUAUGUGCCAUUGCUUAUGCAGUUUUGUACACUGUUGAGUUCCAAAAGCGUGGCCUGCCUCAUAUACAUUGCCUUGUGUAGUUGGCUGAACCAAAUUCAGAGUUUAGUGCUUCCAUCAUUGAUGGUUUUAUGAUACAUGGUCCAUGUGGCGAUGACAACAAAAAAUGUCCAUGCAUGAAAGACAACAAGUGUUCAAAGAAUUUUCCUAAAUCAUUUCAGGAUGAGACAAUUGUAGAUGACUUUGGUUUUACUAUCUACAAGCGUAGAAACGAUGGCAGACAUGUUGUGAAGAAUGGCGUCAGGCUAGAUAACAGGAAUGUUGUUCCAUAUAACAAGAACCUCCUUAAAAAGUACAAUGCACACAUCAAUGUGGAAUGAUGUAACAAAUCUAACAUGAUCAAAUACUUGUUUAAGUAUGUUACAAAGGGAAGCGAUAGGGCGAAGAUUUACUUUGAGGUUACUGCAAAGACACCUAAUGCAUCUCCUGGACCUCAAUUGGCUCCACGGAAUGAAAUCCAAGAAUACAUUGAUGCUAGGUUUCUAUCCUCUUGUGAAGCUCUAUGGCGUGCUUUUGAAUAUGAUAUUCACUUUAGAAUGCCUCCGGUAGAGCGAUUAUGUGUUCACCUUCCGGGAAUGAAUCAUGUGCGGUAUGAGCCAGGAGUUGACCUACGGGCGCUACUUGCUAGCCCAGCAGCAAAAAGCUCGAUGUUGACCGCGUGGUUCGAUGCAAAUGCAAAACAUGAGGACGCUAGACACUUGACAUACUGCGAUUUUCCAAAAAAAUGGACUUGGGAUGCUUCCAACCGAUGCUGGCGAAAAAGAGUACCUUGUGCUAAGAUUGGACGUAUGUACUAUGUACAUCCAGCUGCUGGUGAACUUUAUUACCUGCGCAUGCUGUUGAUGAUAGUUAAAGGCGCAACGAACUAUCCUGAUGUGAGAACCUUUAACAAUAGAGUGUACAGUACAUUUCGAGAAGCAUGUGAGGCAAGAGGUCUGCUUGAGAGCGAUAAUGAAUGGAGCCUUCUAUUUGAUGAGGCCAUAGUGUCUGCAUCAGCAUAUCAGCUUAGGCAUUUAUUUGUCACUGUGGUGCUUUUCUGUUCUGUCAGCGAUGUCCGUGCUUUUUUUUGAUAAGUACUGGCUUUACUUUACGGAUGACAUACAUAGAGGACUAAGGAAUGCGCUUGGGAACCCCAACUAUAUUGUCCCGCACGAGCAACUAAUGAACCUACUUAUACAAAAAUUAACAGACCUUUUUGCUAAUAGUGGUGGCAACAUAAAUAACUACAACUUACCAAAGCUAACAACGUAGGGUUAUGGUGUGAAUGAUAAUAGGUUAAUUAAUGAUGAGCUUGAUUCUGAACCCUUGAUGCUAUCCAUGCAUGCUUCAUCUUUGGUGUCACAAUUAAACGCUGACCAAAAAAAUGUGUUCGAUGUAAUCACUGAACGUGUUCCAAGUGGAUCUGCUGGUUUUUUCUUUGUGUGUGGCCAUGGUGGCACUGUCAAAACUUUCUUAUGGAAUGCUAUAAUCGCGAGAUUACGAUCUGAAAAGAAAAUAGUGCUUGCUGUUGCAUCAUCUGGUGUAGCAUCUUUGCUACUGCCUAGAGGACGAACUGCACACUCUAGGUUUAAAAUACCUUUCGACAUAACCGAGGCUGCCACGUGUAGUGUGAAAAGAGGUACAAUGCUUGCUGAACUUAUACAAGUGGCUGCCCUCAUUAUAUGGGAUGAAGCUCCAAUGACUCACCGCCGUUGUUUUGAGGCAUUAGACAGAACUAUGAGAGAUAUCCUUUCUGAGCAUAACCCAGCCAAUGCAUUGCUUCCUUUUGGAGGCAUGCCCGUUGUCCUUGGCCGUGACUUCAGGCAGAUCCUACCAGUAGUUCGCAAAGGCUCACGAUCCACUAUCGUUGCUGCAUCUAUCACAAAUUCUAAGUUAUGGCAACAUGUAGUGCUUUUAAAAUUGCAUACAAAUAUGCGACUUCUGAACCCCACAUUAGAAGGAAACCAGCGAGAUGAACUUGAACAGUUUAGCAAGUGGGUCAGUUUUACAAGGCUUCCUGAGAAGACUUUCAUAUGGAGUGUCAGUUUUACAGAGAGCACAAUAGACUCAGGAAAUGUUACCUUUCAAGUUAAUGCAGUGGUAGGAGAAAUAAAUGAUGGAAGUGCUACCAUUCCAGCAACACCAGACGGAUCCCAAGCAUCCUCUCUCAUGCUCUCAGGAGGUGCAGGCACAAGCAUACAGAAUACUCCUAAAAAAAGUCAUGCCUUGACUUUAUCCUCGCUGCCUGCUACUUCUGAACCUAGCCUUGCCUCAAGCGCCACACCAGCCAAACAACAUUUCCUGCUUCUGAGCCACCCGAGACUCCUCAGAGUGUAAGGAGCAAUGCUCAUGAUAAGGACAAGGCUUUGGCUUGCACUGCAGAUGCCCCUGGUGAUUCUCCUACACAAACACAGGGGGGAAGUGCUCGUGAUGAGGACAAGACUUUGGCUUCCAUUGCACAUGCCGCUGGUGGGUCUUCUACAAAGACACAGAAAAGCACUACAAAGAAGAGGUCUCGCCCAUCUGCUAACAAAAAUGUUGCUAAAAAACUUUUCAUUCAUGGGCAAGCUGGAGAUGACAGUGGCAGCGGUAACGAUGCUGCAGAUGCUCCUGAUCAGACCAGUCCAAGCAAGGAUGAUGCAUGAGCAGUGAAGCUCAUGUUGCUUUUGUCUCUACCGGUUGCAGCUGGCUUUUGUGUGCCCUUCCUCCAUCAAGAAGAGUCCAAUGCAUGGGACCUAGAGUCUGCAUUGACCUCAAUCUGCAAACCGUGUAGCAUGGUGAUUAGCUUUUGGUUUCAGAUAGUAUUCAAAACUACCAGCUAGGUUGUUUGGUAGUUAUGCAUACUUGCUGUUACAUGUAGAUUUAAGGUGCUCGGAUGUGCUGUAAUAUUGAUGCUCCAAAUGCCGAACAGACACCUGAUGAUAGGUUAGUUUCAUGCUCGGAUGUAACCAUGGUGAUCGGAUGUACUGUAAUGAUGAUUGAAAUGUUGCCGGACAGACACCUGAUGGAUAGGAUAGCCUGGUGCUCGGAUGUGAUGUCAUGUGAUGUGAUGGCUAGCAUAGUUUGGUGCUCGGAUGUGCUGUAAUAUUUAUGGUUCAAAUGCCGGAUAAACACCUAUGUUAAUAUGUUCAUGAUCUGCUUGCUAUCGAAUGUGUUGGCUUCGUAUUGAA